UAAUUCAUCGUGAUAGGAGUUGUGAUGUCAUUUAUUACGAUUAGUCAGUCAAGUUAGACGGAAGGAUAUUUUAGAAUUAUAGUAACCGUGUCUCAUUAGAAAUAAUAAGAGUAAACCAUGCAGCUAAGAAAAGUUAUGGAAAGAAAAUAUAAAAGAGAUAAAAGGGAUAGAACGGACUUUGUAUGUUUCUAUUGUGGCAAAACAUUAAAAACAACAGCAAGAGUGCUAUUUGAGUAGUGGCCGUUGGUAAGAGUGGCAAAUAGUUAAAUUCGGCAGCAAGAACUUUAUUCCUGAAAUGUCGGACACGUCAGCAGCUUCGUCAGUCUCUUGCUCCUGCAAGCAACACCAUCCAUGGCGGCACUUUCGAUUCCCAGCAGUGACGGCUAACUGCAGCACUGCGAAUCUGUGACGCCUAACAGCGAUGGGGACAUCAGCACUUGAUCAUGCAGCUAUUCACAUCCAGUUGGAUCAACAUGAACCACUGCGAAUAACAGUUUGAUCAAAUGGACAAUAUGUUCUUAGUUUCACAAAAUUUUCAUCAUCAUCGUACUGGAAAAUACAAUCAAAUGCAAUCUUUGCAUCCUAAGAUGAGAGAGGAGAUCAGAAUAGAAUGCAAUUAUGCAAACGCUUGCUUACACACAUAUAUACAAGCAUGUGAUUCAUCAUCAGUUCAUCAGCUGAAGCUGGUUGCUAUGGUUUGCAAUCGAGAGAAGGCUAUCGUGGUCUUAUGGGAGUGAGCUUUCUUCCUUGGCGGAGAGGCGCUUCAAGAACUCGUAGGCGGUGACCAUGGUGGCAGCGGAGAGCGACAUGGACGCGCACCUCGGCGCGAGCCCACGGUAGCAGGCGGCCCACCCGCCCUCCCGCACCAGCGCGCGCG
rnacentral:lncRNA from 1 species